GGCAGCUGGGUGCGAGACGUCGGCCCCCACCAGCCCAGGGUCCUCUGCAAAAUCCCCACUCAAACUGUGGAGAGCAGAACAGAGUAAACAGAGCAGGCUGCAAGGGGGGCCAAGAACACGAGGCGGGGUCACAUCAACAGUGGGGGGGUGCCAGGUGGAAGGGGCCAGCCCUCUGAGGCACUGUGUCCUGUGUCGGCAACUUCCCCCAGAACAUUCUGAGAGCAGAUCCAGAGAUGAAUGAGAGCGGGGCUCUAGACCGUAGUGGAAGGUCUCUCCUUGUGCGGCUCCCCUGCUCCCAGCCCAGCCCAGCCUCGGGAGAGACCAGAAAACUGCCAGCACACGGUGGGGACCCGGGGCCACGGGGACCAGGAGGAACAGGGUAGGGCCAUGUGCUCAGGCUGCAGGCCCCUGCUUGGGUGGGAGACCCCCCAGCCUCGGGAGGCCGGACAGCACAGGUGCACCCAGAGCAUCUCCCCGGAAAAGGGCUCACACAUCCACACCAGUACGGCAAUGCCACAGAGUUGGUCAGGCCCGAGUGCCUGGAAGUCAAGUCCCUCCCUUCAGUUAUCCUGGGGCCCGAGUUUCCUCCAAUAAAAAUAACACUACCAGUAUUCACUGGGCACUCACUCCAUGCCAGGAAACGUGCUGAAUGCUUUCCGCAGAAUACGCUGUUCUGUUCUCCCCAACCUGAGCAUCGAUCCUCUUAGUAUUCCCAUUUUAAAGAUAUGGAAAUUGAGGCCUGAAGUGACUGGAGCAGGAUGGGAAGACGGACAAGUGGCUUUGACUGGAGAUGCUUUGCUCCAGCGUCCCCAACCCGCACCCUGGGGAUGGGGGGGGGGGGGGGCAUUCUGGUUUCAAGAUGGUCGCUGAGCCACAGGGAACAGUUGGGGGCGCUCUGCUUCACCUCACGGGCACCCCACAAUUCCUCAGAGCACGUGGCUCUCCCAGAAAGAGGUCACGCAGAACCGGUCUACACUAGAAGUCUGUCUGCCCAAGCGGCAGCAACAGUAUUCUCCGAUCCCAUGAGGCCGAGCUAAAAAUAACUCCAUCCCGACAAUAUUUUGAGAAAUAAAGUGCCUUGAAAUGUCAUGGGAGGUAGCACAAACUUCUCAGGAAGUGCUUCCUUCCUCCGCCACGCCUCUGUUGCAGGAAUUGAGAGGCAAUCAGGGCACGCACUGGUGAGCACGCCCAGGCUCUAGGAUGCAGUCAGCUUUCCAACAGCUGCAGGAGCCGGGCAAGUCAGAAGCCACUCGGAGGCUUACUUUUCUGUGAGAUGGGGUGGGCGGAAAGGACCCGGAGAGUUCCCGAGGGUUCUCCUAGAUGUGGAGAAGAGAGGGCAACCGGGAGACGGCACUCUGGGAAGCAGAAGGGCAGUGGCAGGGCCGUGAGACCCACCGAGGCGAGACCUGCAGACCGCGGGGAAAGCGACAGCAAAUGGCAGGGUGCUCAGCAGACUCCGCAGGGUGGGCCCAGCCCUCAGCGCCGGGGUGGGAGGCUUGUGGGGGGGGGGGGGGGUCACCGGGGAAGGGGGAACUGGAAUGGCCCAGAAGGGGGCUCAGUCACAACAGAGGACAAGGACUCUGUCAGGUCCUAAGAGGGUGUUUUCAUCACCUGGGCCACACCCCCAAUCUGAGCCCAACCCACACCCCAUGUCUCUGCUCUGUGGCGGCUCACGCUUGGGGGUAGAAACCCACACACGCUUGUAACAGGGCAAAAUAAGCCCAGAGGCUUCUGUUUAUGAUGCAGUCUACAUUACUCACCCCUGGCUGAGAUCUCCCCGUCCCACCCCCGAGGCAGGAGGCACAGAAAGCAGGAAACGGGGAGCCCGGCUCUUAGGACCAACCCUCACGCUGGCCACCCGGCCCUCUGGCCUCAGUACCCAUCUGUGAAAUGGGGGCAGUGUGAUGGAUGAGAUAAGGCGCAGGCAUUAUCCACAAUGAGCGCAGCCUGUAAACAGCACCUCGAGGCAGCCGUGCUGGGGCGCAAGGAAGAGUGGGGCUCACGCCAGCUGCUUCCGGCCUGGAGCGGGGCAGCCAGGCAGAAGGUGCCCUGCGAGGCCUAGCCUCCCCACCUCGCCUCUGCACGGCCUGCUCUGGGCGGGCAUGCCCGCCGCCCACUCUCUGCAGCCCCGAUUCACGCCUCCAGCCCGAGUCCCCACUUCCGGCAACAAGGGGGAGCCCUGCCACGUGGACAGAGAGCGCGAACACCCCUAACACGUUCCUAGGCCCCCAGGAGAUCCCCAAGCUCCGUGUUCCCAGCACCUCUCUCAGCAGCAAGGAGGAGGCAGAGACGGCAGGUGGGGAAACUGAGUCUGGGCAAGCUCGCCUGGGAUUCCAAGCAGAGGCUCUGGAGUCAGACACACCUGGUUCAACUCCCAGGCUAUUACUAUUUCUGAUGCUCACGUUUCUCAUUUAAAACCCAGAAAACUGUGUUUACCCUGCAAGCUGGUUGCACAAAGGAGGAAAAGCUCCACUGCUUACACUUGGUUAUGAUCUCACAGUUUGUGAGUUCGAGCCCUGCGUCAGACUCUGAGCUAACAUCGAGGAGCCUGCUUAGGUCUCUCUCUCUCUCUCUCUCUCUCUCAAAAUAAAUAAAUAAACUUUAUAAAGAUGGCUAUUAGUUUCAUUACCUGAGCGAUCAGGAGGCCUGAGCCAUCACCUGGCGGUCCGUAGCAGAGGCAGAAAGCACAGUCCAGGCGCCCAGCCCCUCACAGCUCAGUCCAUCCAUCCCCCAGGAGCUAACGGACUACUGACAGCUUCCAACCUGACCCGUCAAGAGCCACUGUCCAAGCUGAUCCUUGCCGAAUCCGACCCCACUCUCCCGGCUCGGAGCGACAACACAAGAUCUGUUUUUCGAUACAUCAGAUUCCCAGUGGUCUUCUGCCAAAUGGGGGCCUGUCCUGCUUCCUGCCUGCCUUCAGAGAGUCCCUUCCACAGUGACACUGAAGCUCUCUGCUCCCCUCCCCUCCCCCAGCCCUGCCUGCCCUCAGCUCCCCCAGGCCUCGGCUUACAGAACCCCCCCCCACUGACCCGGGAGACUUGGACUUUGGCUGCAGGACACUGCAGGACAGCUGGUCUCCCUGGAGCUCCGGGGUCCCUCGGCCUGCCCACAUAUUCUGUCCACCACACACGGGUCGGGGAGCAGGGCUAGAGUGUUCUCAGGCCUGCAGAGAGGAGCUGGGACACUAGGAGUCGCUACUGAGCUUCCGUCCCAGGGUGGCAGGGAGGCAGGACAGGAAUUUAUUUCAAACUAUUUCCUAUGGGGACACUGGUGCUUCCCCUCUACUAGUAGGUUCCAAACAGGUUAACCUCUUCCCCUCCUGGCUGACUCUGGCCAGAACAGGACGGGGGAUGACUUCCACACGCCACCUGGAUCCUGCCAGCCCCUAGAUACAGUCUCCACAAGACCCGUGAGGCCUCCAGGGGGACGCUGGGGAGGGAGUCCAAGGAAGGUCAGGUCCAUUCGGCUGUGAGGUGGGGCUGCACACAGGGGUGGGGUGGGCCCCUUCAGCCCCCGGCUCAGUUCCUAGCCUGUCUCGGCCUCUGCACCUGUAAAAGGGAGGGUGGGGUGUGGACGGGAUCUGAAGACAGUGCUCCUUGAAGCUUUCAAAUGCUCGGAAGAAGCAGAACCCGUUGCCUCUGCCCAGUGGAAUUCACAAGGAACCCCGAUACAGACAAGACAGCUGGUCUGGCUGAACCAGGGGUAGGGCCUGGAAGCCCCACAGGGAUCCCCCUAAUUCUCCUGAGGGGCCAGAGCAGAACUGGGGCUUGGAGCCCCGACCUGAGGACCCUGAGCCACAUUCUCUGCCCUGUGGCUCGGAGCUCCCUUGGCAGCUGUGAGUGGUUCCUCCUGGCACCAGCCCCCACCCAGCAGGACCUCACGGCACAUGUCCCUGGUGGCCGACUUGACUGGACUGGAGCGCCUGGGUGGCUCAGCCAGUUAAGCGUCCAGCUCUUGAUUUAGGCUCGAGUCAUGAUCUCAUGGUUCGUGAGAUCGAGCCCCGAGUCAGGCUCUGUGCUCACAGCAUGGAGCCUGCCUGGGAUUCUCCCUCUCCCUCCCUCUCUGCUCCUCCCCUGCUGGCUCGCUCUCUCUCUCUCAAAAUGAAUUAAUAAACACUAAAAAAAUAAAAAUAAAAAUCCACCGGACUAACUUAAAACCAUACAGAAACAAAUGGAGAGACAGUAAUCACAGGGAACCCUGCACGUGGUGGACUAUGGGUUCAAAGGCCAGCUCUCACCAGCUCUGUGACCCCAGGCAAGUUACUCAACCUCUCGGAAAUAAGAAUAGUUAGCCAUCCCCUGGGGAGUGUUAUGCUAAGUGAAAUAAGACAGUCAGAGAAAGACAGAGAUCAUACUUUCACUCACAUGUGGAAUUUGAGAAACUUAACAGAAGACUACGGGGAGGGG